UACAGAGGUGGCAAGCGUUGUUCGGAAUUACUGGGCGUAAAGGGCGCGUAGGCGGCUUGGUCAGUCCCGUGUGAAAUCCCUCGGCUCAACUGAGGAACUGCACGGGAAACUGCCUGGCUUGAGUUCGGGAGAGGGAAGCGGAAUUCCGGGUGUAGCGGUGAAAUGCGUAGAUAUCCGGAGGAACACCGGUGGCGAAGGCGGCUUCCUGGACCGACACUGACGCUGAGGCGCGAAAGCCGGGGGAGCAAACAGG
rnacentral:rRNA from 1 species